UACGUAGGGGGCAAGCGUUGUCCGGAAUCAUUGGGCGUAAAGAGCGCGUAGGCGGUCCGGUAAGUCGGUUGUGAAAACUGGGGGCUCAACCCUCAGAGGCCGACCGAUACUGUCGGGCUAGAGUCCGGAAGAGGCGAGUGGAAUUCCUGGUGUAGCGGUGAAAUGCGCAGAUAUCAGGAGGAACACCAAUGGCGAAGGCAGCUCGCUGGGACGGUACUGACGCUGAGGCGCGAAAGCGUGGGGGAGCAAACAGG
rnacentral:rRNA from 1 species